GUGGAUUCUGCGAAAGUUGCGCGUCUGCUUUCAGACUUGAUGCAGACGCCACGAGUCGAAUGGUUUGUCUCCAAAGGGCAGUGCCUCCCCAUUGGUCAGUCGCCCCCUGACGUCACAGGCGCACGGCUUCCACUGGCGUGUGCGCGGCUUGCCUAGUUCUUCGCCUACCUUCCUCAAUUCCAAUCCCAGCCCGAGCUGCAGCCGGGGGCCGCGCUGUGCUGCGCCGGUGGCCGCCGGGAAGGGAGGCGCCUCUGCCCGGCUGGCCGCCGAUGCUUUCCGCUGCAGCUCGUGCCCCAAAUCCCGGAGACCCAGCUGCCAAUAUCUCAGCCUUGAAACAGCCAACUGGGGGCUGCUCUCUUUCAAUCCCCUUGCACCCUUGUAGGCUGCCUGUGCUUAGAAGCAGUGCCCCCCGCCCCGCAUUUAAAUCCAGCCCCCCCCCUUUCUUGACCUCCCUUCCACUCUGGUCCUACUACACUCCUGUGGGAGCUCCCUGUCACCGUGGAUUUUUCUAGACGUAUUUUACUGAAACCACAGAAGGAAGACGAACCCUCACACCUGGGCUCCACCCCACUGGGGGGUGGUAAAGAAAAAGAAAAAUCAGACUGUGUUCUGGCUCGGUCCCUGCCAUUUCAGGCCGUGUUUCUUAUAUAUUGUACAAAAGGUGGGGGGGGGGUGUCUUUUUUUUUCCUUCUCAGAACGCAGCAGCCUGUUCUGAAAAACGAAUCGUUGGAGGACUGACAGUAAUGCAUUUUUUCCUAUUGAAAACAGAAGCUACUGUAAUGCUUUCAAAUAUAUGCAAAUGAUACAUGCGGUUAGUGGUUUGGCAAAUCUUGAUUACAAUAUAAACUACCCAAGUAAAAGUGCCUUCGUCCUAAAUUUGUCUCUCGAUUACAAUUCCAAUUGAUUUUAUUUUAUUGUCAACAUUGUUAAUGAUAAAAAUAGAGUCGUUUUACAGUUAUUUUUACUUUCUGGAAGGAGGCAAUUAGAGUUCUAAUCAGGAAUACACAAAAAUCUCCCAUGAUUAACUGCAGUACUUUGUUCAAAUUGCUGCUAUAAAAUUCAGAACAAUUUGCCUGUAAUGAUUAUGGACUGGGUUUAUUUUGGGAGGUGGAAUAAAAGUGGAUAUAGCAUAAAUUAUCCUCUAAUUAUACACCAGUGUCGCCUCAAUUAUCCUCUUAUCAAAAUGGUUGUCUAACUGCCGCAUUUAGUUUCAAUUCUCUCCUUUUUUUCUAUAAAAAGAACUUCAUACCUUGUUAUUAUUAAUCCAUUUAUUAUUUGCAAGGGGAUUUAUAUCCGCACAUCCAGGUGGUAGAACCACUUCUCUUUCAAAGAUGGACUGGGGAAAGACAUUAAGUUCGGAGCAGCCCAAGGCUGCGGAUCUAGCCUUUCUCCCUCCGGCCUCCAGACCCACGCAGGUCCAGGCAGCCAAGCAGAGACAGCGGAGCCCCGGUGCGCGGUUCAGGCCUGGUCAACAGGUAGGAGGGCCGGACUGGGGGCCAAGCACAGAGGAGGGCAGGCCCGCCUGCGCCAGCGUCCAGGGUCCCGGGUCCCGGGACUGGAGGAGGUCGCCGGGAGCCCGCGCUUCCAGAGGAUUGAGAUUGGGUGAACGAGACCUGAAGACCCUCUCGGUCUGGACCCCGACUUUCGGUCUGCUUAGAGACCUAAGCCGCGAGCCUUUGGCCACACGGAGAAACGUACUAACAACCCUGUACUGCCGUGUCUGGAGGUUGCGGGAACGAGACUGUGUCUCCCUUUGGGAAAAGUACUGGGGACUUCUUUAUAUCCUACUUCUCCUGGACUCCAUAAGUUACAGGACCGAAGAAAACUGAGAAAUAGAGAGAAGGUGCCGCUUGCCCCUUCACUCCAGAAAAGGGUGGCUGCAGACGGAGCAGCUUGGACUUUAUUUUUACAUUGUGGAAGCCCGCCGGCAGCGGCUUAUGCUAAUUGAUUUUCCCAGUUCCCAGCCCUGGGUGUCUAGCUAUCUCCAGGCCAGUUUGCAUUUUUCUUUUUCUUUCUUUCUUUCUUUUCUUCAAUGUAUCAGAAGACCUGAAGCUCGCGGCCCGCUGCCCGCUGCCCGCUGCCCGCUGCCCGCGAGUUUCCUCCGAGUUUCCAGGUCAGCGGCAUUUGCGCUCCUCUCCCCCUCCUUUUCCCAGCCCGCUGCGCUUAAGUUCUUGAGUCUGGGGAGCCGGUUCAGUAACUCUGAAUUCAUUUUUAAGUGGCGUGCCUUGUUCCCCACCUUUUAACAAGAGGUGCACUUUAACACGCGAACCAGUAACCCGAUCUACACGUUUACAAAUCGGCAAUGAAUUAAAACAACAACAAAAAAGCUUCAUGGAAAAAGAAAGAGGACAGACAAGCACCACUGUGGAGGACAAGCACCACUGGGGAGGCAGUUAGAGUCUAGUGGCGGCGGGGGACUUUAGAGUCAGACUGCUGAAAAAUCUUCAUUGCUGAGACAAAGGAAAACCCACUCCCUUGGAGGAGCAUGACCUUUUCCUGUAUUGCUUCCCACUGCUGUUGUUGAGCUCCUUGGACCCUGACUCCUGGACACCAUCAUCAAGAAGACUUUAUGGAUGGGCUAUCCACCCACUGAGAGAAGAGGAGCAUCAGCUACAGUUUCUCUCUAGAUUGCCUUCUUCAUUUUGAGUAAUGACUGUCAGCAGGGUCAGAUUAAAGACAAAACAACUGGACAAUUGCUUGGAGGACUAAACUAUAAGGGCACUAACAUAUCAAUAGUAUGCUAACACAUCCAUGAAAAAUAUAUUUACCAGCCCUUCUCUCAGGGAGGAGUCUGUGUGGGGUUGGAAGGAAUAGUCUGUUAAAUUCCUUAGGGGUAGAAAAUAGGGCAUAAUCAGAAUGUAGAGGAGCAUGCUGUUUGACUUCAGGGUUUCUUUUUUUCUUACUAGGAUAUAUAAAAGAAGGACUCUAGCUAGAUUGUUUAUGACCACAGAGGGUAGGCUGAGUGCUCCCAUGAUCUUCCUGCUUGAUUCUUGCCCCUACAGACCUCAGCCUUUCCUCUAAUAAAGAUUGAACAAGUAGUGGUCUGAGGGAGACACCAAUUCAUUACCCUACAUGUCUCUUUUUUGCACUCUAGGGCUUUGAUAAUAAAGACACUGGCAGACUAUCUAUCUUCCAUUUCUAUAAUGUGAGCCCUUAGGGAGUCUUCGUUCACUUGCGGGUGACAGUCAUUGCUCACAGAGUAGUUCAAGUCAAAUGGAACUUGAACUCUUUGCCUAUGGACCUGGUGGUCAGACUCUGUGUUGAGUUCAUUAGAUUAUUGGAAACACAAGGUAGAGCUGGGCCCUUCAAAAAUAUUUGGCUAAAGGAUGACAUUGCUGGUUAUUUGUAGAUAAAGCCAUCAUGGAACAUGCUUGGAAUUAUGAAAUAUGGAACUGGUGGUCAUGUUUAAUAAUACAACUAAUAGUUAAGUAACUACUGGAUACUGUAGAGACUUAGAAGCAAGACAGACAUGGUUUCUGCCCCCAUGGAGCUUACACUGUAGCUUUCCCUUAGGUAUGAAGAACAGUGGCUACAACUAAUAAAUAGUCAUAAAGAUAUCAUUGAGCCAGUGUUCCAGUUAUUAGAAUAAUUCCUAUUUCCUUAAUCAUGCCUAUUGAUCAUGUUCUAUAAGCCUGCAUUCUAUAAAUGGCCUGUAAGCAUGGGCUGUUUCCCCCCAGCAAGUUGUACAAAGUUCUGUGGUACCAGGCAAAGGGCUUAAGGUUAGCAGGGUCUCUGGGGAAGGACAUAUGAAGUGACUUGGGUCAGGAAACAGGAAGGGAUAGGUUUCAAGAAAAGCUAUAGCUUCUGUUCUAUAUAGGAAACUACAGGAUGAAAAAUGCUGGGCCCCAGCAUUUUUGAGACCUGGGUGUUAGUUUGUGUUCUAAUACUAACAAGCUAUGUGACUGUGGGUAAGUCAUUUCACAUUCCACUUGGAUGCCUCUUGAGUGACUCCAGGCCUCUCCAGCUCUAAAACAUUAAGAUCAGGCCCUAUGCUACAGCUGGCCUUAUGUAAUUCUCCUAUUUCUACACUGUUAGGUCAAAUCAAUCUUCAAUAGUUACUUGAGUGUUAUUACUUUUUUCUGAAGUGGGUGUUUUACCAAUGUUUUAGGAUACAGUGAGUCUGCUUCUUCCCUUUGGAGUUAGGAAGGUUGUAGCAAUAUACACUGUAGAGCUUAUGGAAGCUUUAUUCCUUCCUUUUUUCCCCCUUACCUCUCCCUCUCCUUCCCUUCCUCAAACAUUUCUAUUGAGCAUAUACCAUUGCCAUGUACCAGGUGUGUGCUAGGUUUGGAGAUUCAAGGUAAACCUGAGAGUUUCCCAGACUCCAGGAGACAAAACCCUUAUUUCUUUCAUCUGCUGGCUUUCUCUUUGGAAAGAAUCAACGAUGUCCCAGGGGAGUGUGCCCAUGUCCCAGGGUAACCAACUACAGACAGAUGCCCCAUUCUACUCAAGCAACUUUUAGAGUGCCUUGAGAUACACAUCAGUUAAUUAUUCGGGGCCGGGCAUGAUGCUGUACACCUAUAGUCACAGCACUUUGGGUGGCUGAGGCAGCAGAUUGCUUGAGCUCAGGAAUUCAAGACUAGACUAGAGAACAGGGCAAAACCCCAGCUCUACAAAAACAUACAAAAAUUAGCUGCGUGUGGUGGCCUGUGACUGUAGUACAAGCUACUCAGGAGACUGAGGUGGGAGAAUUGCUUGAGCCUGUGAGGUCGAGACUGCAGUGAGCUGAGAUCAUGCCAUUGCACUCCAGCCUGGGUGACAUAGGGAGACCCUGUCUUAAAAAAAAAAAAAAAAAAAGAUAAUCAUCCAGUCCUAGUGUCAUUGUGAAAAGAUCUGUCUUCAGAUAUAAGGAAGAAACAAUCUUUUAUUUCUUAGGAUAAAUCUGUAGAAGGACCUCCAGACAGUGAAGGCCACUGACUACUUUAUACUCUGUAACCCAUCCCUUCCCUGGUAGGAAGGACUACUUUCUAAACUUACAAAGUACCUCUCAGCAAAUAGACAUUUUUAUAUAUACUGUGAUUCUUACAUCCCUAUGGGUGGUGACUUCUUUAAAAAGGAAAGGAAAAAGCCUAAUCAGACAAAAAGAUGUUGCUAUUAAUUCUUACCCUAUUGUGAAUCCUAUAUAAGCAAAUUUGUAUCUAUGUUUUUUCCAACAUUAGCAGAUCUAUUUGAUGUAUAUCUCUGAGUGUAGAAAAUAUUCUAUGGAAAAAUCAGUCUAUGGAAUUUCAAAUUCGGAAUUGCUGAUACACACUAUUUGGUUUCAGAAUUUUAUCCUAGGACAUAGUAUUAGGGAUUUCAAUUUCUGGCUUAAAUGGUAGAAUUAAUUACUCUUAACUCUUAAUUUUACUUCUGAGUUGAGGUCAAGGAACAGGCAGACACCUCCAGUUAACGUCUAUACCUCUCCAUGGCCAAGAACUUUAAUUUUCUCGUUUUCAGUUUUGUAGAUGUACAUCAUUACUAAAUGGAUUGAUUAGUAUUUUAUCUCCUCUCCUUGUCCUUACUUUCCCUCUGGUAAAUAUGUUAUAAACAGUGUAAGGCUCAUAAGAUAGAAUAGCUGGUAGGACUUAGAAGAGAAACAUAAUUCACAUAAAUGGAAAUAACUCAAAUAACUGGAACUUAGAAGAGAAACUGGACUAAGAAGAGAAACAUAACUCACAUGAAUGGAAAAUUGGCCCUGGAAUAAUUGACAACAUAUUCAAGUAUUUUAGUUCGGUGUCACUCUCAUUAAGAAGAAGAGAAUCAGUAAAUCUAUGUGACUCUAAACAUUUUAAUGAAAAGAGGACUAUUCUGUCAAUCAUCUCACAUUUUAAAAUAUCUGAAUAUUGGCCAUUGUAAAGACAAAACAUACAGAUGAUGGACUUGUCUUUCUACCUCUCAUUUGCAUGGUUUGGAGCAUUGUACCUCCAGCCAUUGACUCUAAGGCAAUUUAUAUUUGCUUCCUCUUCCCUCUUGAGAGAAAACAAAAAUCUUAUUUUUCCAAGCAAUUAAAACUCUUCUGCUUCAGCUAGGAUGAAAGAAUUAGGAGUUAUGUCUCCUUGUAUCUAAUUGCAUGUUUCAUCUUUCUUGUUUUAAUGAUUGACAGAAAACUAAUAAACUGAGACAUCUUUGAAUCAAGGUUGAAUGUACUCUCUUGGUGGCCCCAUUGCUAAUUUGUUUGACUAUUUUUCAGGAUUUCUUACUCUGUAAUGGAAAGGUUUAUUAAAUAUGAGGGGUGCAAAGCUUUCUGAAUACUAAUGAA